GUUCCCGAUGAUGCAUGAAUUUGACCAUGCUAAUUCUGAUUAUGAUGAUACAUUGUUAUGUCAUUUCUGAGGGAACA